rnacentral:rRNA from 1 species
UACGUAGGCAGCGAGCGUUGUUCGGAGUUACUGGGCGUAAGGGUGCGUAGGCGGUUGUUUAAGUUUGGUGUGAAAUCUCCCCGGCUCAACUGGGAGGGUGCGCCGAAUACUGAAUGACUAGAGUGCGGGAGAGGAUAGUGGAAUCCUGGUGAUAGCGGUGAAAUGCGUAGAUAGUCAGGAGGAACACCGGUGGUGUAGACGGCUAUCUGG